CGGGGCCAGAAAGACGCGCGGGGCGGCCGAGCGGUCCCCGCGACCCUUCGCUGGGGGGGCAUCCGGGUGUGCGGGGAUAUCCGCCGUGGGGGUGUUUGCUGUGCGGUGGGGACAGGUGAGGAUGUCUAAAAUGGGGACAUCCAUCCGAAGGGACAUCCGCCGUGGGGACAUCUGGCAUGGGGUCGCCCCCCUCGAGGGGCAGCCAUGGGGGUAUCUGCGCGGGGACAUCUGCUGCGGGACAGUGGCCGUGGGGACAUUGCUGCCAUGCGACCACAGGGAUCAGUACGGUGGAUGGACGUUGUGGUGCAGAGACCUCCGGGUGUGGGGCACAUCUGUUACGGGAUCAUCUGCCCACACGGACAUCCACAGCGAGGAAAAAUCCAGCGUGGGGACGUCUGCCCAUCGGGGACGGACAUCCUGGGAACAGAGGCGUCCUGCUGGGAGGGGACAUCUGCCCAUGGGGUGCAUCCACGUGUGAGGACCGCCAUCACGGAGCGGUGACACGGCGGCACAGGGACGGGUCCCAGCCCUGAGUCACGUCCUGUGGGGCCAAUGACACCAUUUGGGAAGUGAAACAGCCGCGGGAAAACACACAGCCACCCCACACACGCACAUCCCCGGCCAACGUGGCGCAACCCCGUGGGAGCCAGCAGGGCUGGCCGUGGGCGUUCUGUAGGACAGCAAUGGGGACGCGGGGUCUGGGCAGCAGAAAGCCCAAGAGGACAGCGUCCCAAAGACAGCAAUCGGAGAGAGUGGGACAUCUGGGAUCCCCGUGGCUGCCGGAAGGAAGCAGAGGGGCUGGGUGGGGAAAUGGGGCAGUGGCAGCGCUUGCACCACCGGCCCCCUUUUGGGGAAUCCGGCCUUGCUGCAGCCCUGACGAGAGCUCACGUCAUCCACUGGUGGCCGUGGGGCAGCCCCAGUGUGUCAGCCUGGCCAGCGCACGAGAGCCAAACCCCGAACAUCACCCCCCUCUGUGCACCACAGUGGCCCCAAAGCAUCGCCCUGCCAGGCCCCACACCGAUCCCAAAGCAUCGCCCUGCUUGGCCCCACACCGAUCCCAAAGCAUCGCCCUGCCAGGCCCCACACCGAUCCCAAAGCAUCGCCCUGCCAGGCCCCACACCGAUCCCAAAGCAUCGCCCUGCCAGGCCCCACACCGAUCCCAAAGCAUCGCCCUGCUAGGCCCCACACCGAUCCCAAAGCAUCUCUCUGCU
rnacentral:lncRNA from 1 species